UCACCCAGUGAUCUUAAGAGGCUACGGCUUUCAUAAUGCAAAGAAUCUCAACGAAGUCAUUUGCAGAUUCAAGUUCACUGACUCCACAGUCAUCGAUAAAAAUCCAAUUGAUAAGAACUCCACUAUCGUGUUUUGUCCUUCACCAAGGAUAGAGCCACCUGGACAAAUCAUCUUAGUUGAAGUUAGCCUGAACAGUGGAAAAGACUUCCUUGCCCACACCAUCCGUGUGAAUACUUCUGACUGUGUGAGUAUCCCAGUGGGUUCCAUAGCCCUGGUUAGCUAGAGGCCCUGGGAAGAUACAGAUUCUCCUGGAAAGUAAAAGAUGAGGAGGGGGCUAGGUGAGACAAAGAGAAUCUUAUGCUACACAGGCACUUUGGGUGGCCCAUCCUAGUUUCUAGAAGGACAGGGAUGAAGGGGUGGGCAGGUGCCAGCCCUGGCAGAAGCCAUCACUAUCACUGCCAAUCCUCCACAUGGCCUGUGUUUUCAGCCAAGGUGUUUCUAAGUCACAGGGAUCACACCAGUGCUAUCUGCUGUCCUUGCUCUAAACAAGACUGUGGCCCUUUGAGAAAGGUGUAGAGGUGGAGGGCAGACAAGAAAGGGUCCUAUAUCUUGGGGGCAAGCAUCAGCCUAGCCUUCUCUCAGAGAUCUGAUCACCUGUAGUCCAGCAUAUUGUCAGCUGAGACCACAGUGACAGCUGAGAUCCAAAGAGUGCUGAGGAGCCUAGGCUGUCCUCACCUCGGUUCAGGGCAUGGCCUUGGAGCAAAUUGAGAGCUAGGUAUGAGACCUACUCUCCAGCCUUUCUUUGGUACCUUGAUGCCAGGUAACUUAGAAGAAUGGAGAAGAGGCAGAGAGAUGGCAAGCACUGGGCAUCCAGGAAUGGGCUCCUUGGUGUUCUACAUUAAAGCUAGGUUAUCUGCUAAGGAUAGUGAUCUUCUUUCCCACAGAUACCUCCUCCAUCAGUGACCACCGCUCCUGCUCCUGAAACCUCCAUCCUACCAACAACUCCGACAACUUCACCAGCAAACCCUACUAUCCCAAAUGCUCCAGGCCCCCCUACUGUAUUCCCUUCUCCUCCCCUACCUC